AGUGAACGCUGGCGGUAGGCCUAACACAUGCAAGUCGAACGGCAGCACAGGAGAGCUUGCUCUCUGGGUGGCGAGUGGCGGACGGGUGAUGAAUACAUCGGAAUCUACUUUUUCGUGGGGGAUGACGUAGGGAAACUUACGCUAAUACCGCAUACGACCUACGGGUGAAAGCAGGGGAUCUUCGGACCUUGCGCGAUUGAAUGAGCCGAUGUCGGAUUAGCUAGUUGGCGGGGUAAGGGCCUACCAAGGCGACGAUCCAUAGCUGGUCUGCGAGGAUGAUCCGCCACCUUGGGUCUGAGACACGGCCCAAACUCCUACGGGAGGCAGCAGUGGGGAAUAUUGGACAAUGGGCGCAAGCCUGAUCCAGCCAUACCGCGUGGGUGAAGAAGGCCUUCGGGUUGUAAAGCCCUUUUGUUGGGAAAGAAAUCCAGCUGGCUAAUACCCGGUUGGGAUGACGGUACCCAAAGAAUAAGCACCGGCUAACUUCGUGCCAGCCGCCGCGGUAA
rnacentral:rRNA from 1 species